ACGGGUGAGUAACACGUAGGUAACCUGCCUAUGAGACUGGGAUAACUAUCGGAAACGAUAGCUAAGACCGGAUAACUGGUUUUCUCGCAUGAGAGAAUCAUGAAACACGGAGCAAUCUGUGGCUUAUAGAUGGGCCUGCGGCGCAUUAGCUAGUUGGUAGGGUAAUGGCCUACCAAGGCGACGAUGCGUAGCCGACCUGAGAGGGUGACCGGCCACACUGGGACUGAGACACGGCCCAGACUCCUACGGGAGGCAGCAGUAGGGAAUCUUCCGCAAUGGACGCAAGUCUGACGGAGCAACGCCGCGUGAGUGAUGAAGGUUUUCGGAUCGUAAAGCUCUGUUGCCCUAGACGAACAGCAAGGAGAGUAACUGCUCUUUGUGUGACGGUAUAGGAGAAGAAAGCCCCGGCUAACUACGUGCCAGCAGCCGCGGUAAUACGUAGGGGGCAAGCGUUGUCCGGAAUUAUUGGGCGUAAAGCGCGCGCAGGCGGUCAAUUAAGUUGGGUGUUUAAGCCCGGGGCUCAACCCCGGUUCGCAUCCAAAACUGGUUGACUUGAGUGUAGGAGAGGAAAGUGGAAUUCCACGUGUA
rnacentral:rRNA from 1 species